AGUGAACGCUGGCGGCAGGCCUAAUACAUGCAAGUCGAACGGCAGCACAGCAGAGCUUGCUCUGUGGGUGGCGAGUGGCGGACGGGUGAGGAAUACAUGGGAAUCUGCCCAGUCGUGGGGGAUAACGUAUGGAAACGUACGCUAAUACCGCAUGCGCCCUAAGGGGGAAAGCCGGGGACCGCAAGGCCUGGCGCGAUUGGAUGAGCCCAUGUUCGAUUAGCUAGUUGGCGGGGUAAAGGCCCACCAAGGCGACGAUCGAUAGCUGGUCCUGAGAGGAUGAUCAGCCACACUGGAACUGAGACACGGUCCAGACUCCUACGGGAGGCAGCAGUAGGGAAUAUUGGACAAUGGGGGCAACCCUGAUCCAGCCAUGCCGCGUGAGUGAAGAAGGCCCUCGGGUUGUAAAGCUCUUUUGUCCGGAAGAAAAGCAAUCGGUUAAUACCCGGUUGUCCUGACGGUACCGGAAGAAUAAGCACCGGCUAACUUCGUGCC
rnacentral:rRNA from 1 species